rnacentral:tRNA from 1 species
GAGGGUAUAGCUCAGUGGUAGAGUGCAUGCCUAGCAUGCAUGAGGUCCUGGGUUCAAUCCGCAGUACCUCCA